rnacentral:lncRNA from 1 species
GGGUGUAGCCUGCCUUAGAUUAAACUAUUAAAUUCCUUCGAUUUGUGCAAUUAUUAUGGUCCUUUUUUUUUUUGGCUUAAUGGCAUUGUACGGAUGAUCUCGAUAAAUUUUAUAUAAAGGGUUGAUCCAUUCAUGACACCUUGAUGAGUAUGAUUGAGGUAGCUUUGUUAGCAAUUGGAAUAUAUUGUGGCAUAGAAGCACCUACUCC